UGGAGCCGCAGCGCCGGGAGCUGCUCGCCCAGUGUCAGCAGAGCUUGGCCCAGGCCAUGACCGAGGUGGAGGCCGUGCUCGGGCUGCUGGAGGCAGCAGGAGCGCUGAGCCCCGGCGAGCGGCGGCAGCUGGACGAGGAGGCGGGAGGCGCCAAGGCAGAGCUGCUGCUCCAGCUACUCCUGGCCAAGGAGCAGGAUCACUUCCAGGACCUGCGCGCCGCCUUGGAGAAGACUCAGCCUCACCUGCUGCCCAUUCUCUACCUGAACGGCGUCGUCGGGCCGCCGCAGUCUACAGAGGG
rnacentral:lncRNA from 1 species